rnacentral:rRNA from 1 species
GUGUCAGCCGCCGCGGUAAGACAGAGGGUGCAAACGUUGUUCGGAAUUACUGGGCGUAAAGCGCGUGUAGGCGGCCCAGCAAGUCGGAUGUGAAAGCCCUGGGCUUAACCUAGGAAGUGCAUUCGAAACUGCUGGGCUUGAGUUCUGGAGAGGAAGGCGGAAUUCUCGGUGUAGAGGUGAAAUUCGUAGAUAUCGAGAGGAACACCGGUGGCGAAGGCGGCCUUCUGGACAGUGACUGACGCUGAGACGCGAAAGCGUGGGGAGCAAACAGGAUUAGAAACCCUGGUAGUCC